UUCCUGGGCUAUUCCACAACCCAGAAUGCAUACAAAUGCUUUGAUGUUCAAGCCCAAAAACUCUAUUUGUCCCGUCACAUUGUAUUUGCUGAAAAUCAACUUCUCUCUCAUUCUCAACAGCCUGAACCUUCAUCAUCCUCCCCGUCUGUCUCUACCAUGCCUUUCGGGUCACCCAUCGUAGAACCAGUACCAUUGCAACUCUCAUCAGCGCCUUCAGGAAGUCCUAAACAUCACACAUCACCUCCUGCUUCCUUGGCAUCAACCCAAUAUUUUGGAGUUCAAAGAAACAACGAGUUGUAGCAAGAUUAUCAACUGAGGCCAAAUACAAAGCUCUUGCGAAUGCAACUUCAGAGACUGUGUGGCUCUUAUCCUUAUUCAAGGAACUUGGUCUUCCACUCUUGGCUCCACCAAAGCUAUUAUGUGAUAAUUUGGGAGCAACAUAUCUCAGUUUUAAUCCAGUACAGCAUUCCUGAAUGAAAUAUAUACAAAUUGAUCUUCAUUUUGUUCGUAAUCUGGUUCAACGUGGAAUUCUCAAUGUCCAACAUGUCAACACUCAAGACCAGCUAGCAGAUCAUUUGACCAAAGCACUGUCACAACAAAGAACUGAAACUCUACGGAACAAGAUUGGUUUGGCCGAUGGCACCUCAAUCUUGUGGGGGCAUAUAAAGGAACAUUCCUCAAAUCAAGUAAAUGUAAAUUAGCAAGAUCGGCAAGCAAAUAAAUAGCCAAGAAUCAAGAUUGUCAAAUUUCUUUGUACAAUCUAGAAUUUUCUUUGUAUCCAUUAGUCAUAACUCUAGGAAACUUACUUAGAAUAAACUCUGUAAUUUUGUAUAAAUUUCUUUAUAUGAUCAAUUGAAAGUGUGUGAAUA